rnacentral:rRNA from 1 species
GGGUCAGUAGGUUGGUCGUGCCACCGGUACGUACUGGUCUCACUGAUUCCUCCUUCCUGAAGAACCGUAAUGCCAUUAAUUUGGUGUUGCGGGGAAACAGGACUGUUACUUUGAAAAAAUUAGAGUGUUUAAAGCAGGCUAACGCUUGAAUACAUUAGCAUGGGAUAAUGAAAUAGGACGAUCGAUCCUAUUUUGUUGGUUUCUAGGAUUGACGUA